UACGUAGGCAGCGAGCGUUGUUCGGAGUUACUGGGCGUAAAGAGUGCGUAGGCGGUUUUCUAAGUUUGGUGUGAAAUCUCCCGGCUUAACUGGGAGGGUGCGCCGAAAACUGGAAGGCUUGAGUAUGGGAGAGGUAAGCGGAAUUCCUGGUGUAGCGGUGAAAUGCGUAGAUAUUGGGAGGAACACCGGUGGCGAAGGCGACACCCUGGCCCGAAACUGACGCUCAGGUACGAAAGCGUGGGGAGCAAACAGG
rnacentral:rRNA from 1 species